rnacentral:rRNA from 1 species
CACGGGGGGAGCAAGCGUUGUUCGGAUUCAUUGGGCGUAAAGAGCUCGUAGGCGGUUUGUCACGUCUGCUGUGAAAUCCCGAGGCUCAACCUCGGGCCUGCAGUGGGUACGGGCAGACUGGAGUGCGGUAGGGGAGAAUGGAAUUCCUGGUGUAGCGGUGGAAUGCGCAGAUAUCAGGAGGAACACCGAUGGCGAAGGCAGUGCUCUGGGCCGUAACUGACGCUGAGGAGCGAAAGCGUGGGGAGCGAACAGG